GAUGAACGCUGGCGGCGUGCCAAAUACAUGCAAGUCGAGCGAACGGACGAGAAGCUUGCUUCUCUGAUGUUAGCGGCGGACGGGUGAGUAACACGUGGAUAACCUACCUAUAAGACUGGGAUAACUUCGGGAAACCGGAGCUAAUACCGGAUGAUAUUUUGAACCGCAUGGUUCAAAAGUGAAAGACGGUCUUGCUGUCACUUAUAGAUGGAUCCGCGCUGCAUUAGCUAGUUGGUAAGGUAAUGGCUUACCAAGGCAACGAUGCAUAGCCGACCUGAGAGGGUGAUCGGCCACACUGGAACUGAGACACGGUCCAGACUCCUACGGGAGGCAGCAGUAGGGAAUCUUCCGCAAUGGGCGAAAGCCUGACGGAGCAACGCCGCGUGAGUGAUGAAGGUCUUCGGAUCGUAAAACUCUGUUAUUAGGGAAGAACAUAUGUGUAAGUAACUGUGCACAUCUUGACGGUACCUAAUCAGAAAGCCACGGCUAACUACGUG
rnacentral:rRNA from 1 species